rnacentral:rRNA from 1 species
AACGAACGCUGGCGGCGUGGAUAAGACAUGCAAGUCGAGCGCUGAUUUUGGUGUAGCAAUACAUCAAGGUUGGAGCGGCGCAAGGGUGCGUAACACGUGGGUAAUUUGCCGUGAAGUUGG